rnacentral:rRNA from 1 species
GCUAAACGCGAAGAACCUUACCAGGGCUUGACAUCCUCUGAAAAGUAUAGAGAUAUACUCCUCAGUCUUCGGACUGACAGAGAGACAGGUGGUGCAUGGUUGUCGUCAGCUCGUGUCGUGAGAUGUUGGGUUAAGUCCCGCAACGAGCGCAACCCCUAACAUUAGUUGCCAGCGAGUGAGGUCGGGAACUCUAAUGUGACUGCCGUUGACAAAACGGAGGAAGGUGGGGAUGACGUCAAAUCAUCAUGCCCCUUAUGUCCUGGGCUACACACGUACUACAAUGGCCGGUACAGACGGAGGCGAAGCUGUGAAGCGGAGCAAAACUGAGAAAGCCGGUCCCAGUUCGGAUUGUAGUCUGCAACUCGACUACAUGAAGUCGGAAUCGCUAGUAAUCGCAGGUCAGCAUACUGCGGUGAAUACGUUCCCGGGUCUUGUACACACCG